GACGAACGCUGGCGGCGUGCUUAACACAUGCAAGUCGAACGGAAAGGCCCUGCUUUUGUGGGUUGCUCGAGUGGCGAACGGGUGAGUAACACGUGAGUAACCUGCCCUUGACUUUGGGAUAACUUCAGGAAACUGGGGCUAAUACCGGAUAGGAGCUCCUGCUGCAUGGUGGGGGUUGGUAAGUUUCGGCGGUUGGGGAUGGACUCGCGGCUUAUCAGCUUGUUGGUGGGGUAGUGGCUUACCAAGGCUUUGACGGGUAGCCGGCCUGAGAGGGUGACCGGCCACAUUGGGACUGAGAUACGGACCAGACUCCUACGGGAGGCAGCAGUGGGGAAUAUUGCACAAUGGGCGGAAGCCUGAUGCAGCAACGCCGCGUGCGGGAUGACGGCCUUCGGGUUGUAAACCGCUUUCGCCUGUGACGAAGCGUGAGUGACGGUAAUGGGUAAAGAAGCACCGGCUAACUACGUG
rnacentral:rRNA from 1 species